rnacentral:lncRNA from 1 species
UCACUUCACGCAUGCACGGCACUUGCCCCCUGUAAAUGAAACUCAUAGUUUCAUUAGUUUCGUGAUGGGCUUGAUGGCGUGUGUGGGCUGAUUUCCAUCUAACGCAUCCCGUAAAGCGAUUCCUUCCGCCAUUAACGGUGAGGAGACAAAAGGCUCCAUUCCUGAGAACUUCAUCAACUUCCUGUCGCAGGUAAUCAGCCACCCUAAUCUUGCAAAUAUUGAAUUUUCUUUCCAUGAUGCAUCAGACCUUACCACUGGAAUUGAACACAGAGUGGGAGGAGGGAUCGUCAGAGUUCUUCUCUGUUUAUGCUGAUUAGGCAGUGGUCCGUUUUGCCAUUCUCUUGCUGCUGAGAUUGCAAGAGACAUUGCUUCCACAGGAGCGGUAGCCACCGCAUUGAACACUAAUUUGUUCCGGCUAGUCCAAAGAGUCCAGAGCACCCAAGCUGCCAUUUGAUUAGUCACACUUAUAAAGAAUCGUUGGUUGUCGAGUGCUAUCAUAGAAAGAAGUCAUUUCAUGAUUUAUGUGACAUUUUAAUACAUGUUUUGUCAUCUUAUUCAUAGUAAAACAAUUUCAAACUAUCCCAACAUUUUC